rnacentral:rRNA from 1 species
UGCUUAGACAGCUAGGAUGUUGGCUUGGAAGCAGCCAUUCAUUUAAAGAGUGCGUAACAGCUCACUAGUCGAGCGGUUCGGCAUGGAUAAUAAUCGGGCAUAAACAUACUACCGAAGCUAUGGAUUUUAUACUUUUAGUAUAGAGUGGUAGGGGAGCAUUGUAACAGCGUAGAAGGUGUACUGCGAGGUAUGCUGGAGCGGUUACAAAAGAAAAUGUAGGCAUAAGUAACGAUAAUGCGGGCGAGAAACCCGCACACCGAAAGACUAAGGUUUCCUCAGCUAUGCUAAUCAGCUGAGGGUUAGUCGGGGCCUAAGGCGAACCCGAAAGGGGUAGUCGAUGGACAACCAGUUAAUAUUCUGGUACCUGCUUUGCGUUAAAAGUGACGGAGGCGAGAAUUAGGUGCGCACUGACGGAAUAGUGCGUUGAAGGAUGUGGUAACACUCCGAUAGUACACCAAAGCUACGGCGGCGGUGAUAAUCCUGAAUAUCGACUUCCAAGAAAAGCGAGCAAAAGCAGCCCGUACCGCAAACCGACACAGGUAGUUGGGAUGAGAAUUCUAAGGUGCUCGAGAGAUUCAUGGCUAAGGAACUAGGCAAAAUUGACCCGUAACUUCGGAAGAAGGGUCGCCCAUCCAUUGGAUGGGCCGCAGUGAAGAGGUCCAGGCGACUGUUUAUCAAAAACACAGGGCUCUGCUAAAUCGAAAGAUGAUGUAUAGGGCCUGACACCUGCCCGGUGCUGGAAGGUUAAGAGGAGAUGUUAGCUUCGGCGAAGCAUUGAAUUGAAGCCCCAGUAAACGGCGGCCGUAACUAUAACGGUCCUAAGGUAGCGAAAUUCCUUGUCGGGUAAGUUCCGACCUGCACGAAUGGUGCAACGAUCUGGACACUGUCUCAGC